UCCCUGGGGCGACGUACAACGGAGCUCCCACAGUUCUCUUCGCCUCCGCUCGGUCCACCCCCAAACUCCGGUAUUAACCCCUUCACGUCCAUGUUCAUUGGCCCAUCGACGCCCCCUGGCACGCAGAUUUCUUCGUGAGAUCCCGGACACCUAAUUGGUAAAAUACAUAAAAGACCGGGCCUGUCCCUUAGUUAUAGUUAUCGAAGAUUUUCUCAACUUGCUUCUAAGACCUUCUCGCUGAUAAAUAAUAAACGGCAAUCAUGGUUAACGUUUGAGCGUCUGUGGACCAGCUAAGAAAAUUCAGGCCAGGAGCUUCCCUGGUGACGCAGUGGUUAAGAAUCCACCUGCCAAUGCAGGGGACACGGUUUCGAGCCCUGGUCCGGGAAGAUCCCACAUGCUGUGGAGUAACUAAGCCCGUGUGCCACAACUACUGAGCCUGCGUGCCGCACCUACUGAGCCUGUGUGCCACAAUUACUGAAGCCCGUGCACCUAGAGCCCAUGCUCCACAACAAGAGAAGCCACUGCAAUGAGAAGCCUGUGCACUGCAAUGAAGAGUAGCCCCCACUCGCUGCAGCUAAAGAAAGCCCACGUGCAGCAACAAGGACUCAACACAGCCAAAAAUAAAUAAAUUAAUAAAUUAAUUUUUA